ensembl:lncRNA
AAAAUAGAAAUGGAAGAAAUAGAUGAAUAUUCAUCUGAUGGGGAUAAUAAUACAAAAAAAAAUAGAAACAUUGAAAUAGCGGUUUCAAAUGAAGAAGUAAAUGUUAAUAAUAAAAUAUAUUAUGAAGUACCAAAAGAAAACGAUAACAAGGUUGACAAAAAAAAAGUAGAAAAUCAAGAAAUAAAUAAUUAUAUAAUAACAAAUGAAAAUAAAAAUGAGUAUAAUGAAAAAAACAUUUUGAAAGGUAACGAAAAAAAGAAUAAAGAGUUUUUAGAAGAACAAACAACAGACAUUACCAAUACAUUAAUAAAUAAUAAGGAUAAAAUUACAUAUAUCAACGAUAUAACUGAAAUAAAACAUGACCAUCAUUUGGAAAGAAAGUCCAAACAAAAUGGUAACGCAGAAUUAAAUGAAAUAAUAAAACAAAAUAGCAUUAAAACUGCUGAACAGGAAAAUAUAAAUAACAUAUGUGAUGAUGUUAUUUUUGUAGAUGAAAAUAGAAUAGAUGAGAGUAAAAUUAAAAAUUUAAUAAAUAAAAACAAGAAUGAUAAAAAUAUAAUCGAGCAAAACAAACGUAUGUUACAUAAAAAUGAUGGUAAUAAUGACAAUAUUGUAGAAAAACAAGUUGAUGAUAUAAAAAGAAAAAGUAAAGGUAGUGUGGUAGAAAAUAUAAAUGUAAAUGAUAAAGUUAACGAUCAAAUUACUAAGUCUGUAAUAGAUAUAAAUGUGGAUAGUAAUGUAUCUGAUAAAUAUAAUAAAAAAGAUGGUGGUAAAAAUUUUGUUCGAGAUUUAUAUUCAUCAACCGAUGUUAAUGAUGACAUUAUAAAUGUUAAUAAUAAAAAAAAGUUCUGGCCCAACUUAGGUUCUAUUAAUUAUGUAGAUCAUUUUGUUGGUAAAGGUUCUUAUGGUAGUGUUAGAAAAGUUUUAUAUUAUCUUGAUUUAAACAAUAAACAUUUAAAAUUUUAUAUUGAUAAAAUUAAUAGUGUAGAUUUUUAUAAUUUAUUAAUUGAAUGUAAUAAUACCCAACAGUGUUUAAAUUUGAAUAUGCAAAAAACAAAUGAUUUGAAAGGAGUAUUAUAUGACGCUAAUAGUGAUAGUAGUUAUAAUAACAUAAGUGAGAAUAAUCAUAAUAUUAAUAUAAAAGAAAUGAGCGAUGUUAUUUUUAAUGGAAAACAUACAACUACUGGCAAUGCGACAAAUAGCGUAAAUGAUGAAAAAAAAUAUAUGAACUUAACCAUAUUUGAUGAUAAAGACCCAUAUAAUAAAAAAGUCCUUAACAACUGUCUUUGCUGUUCUAAUAAAAGAUACUUCGAACUAGCCAUAAAAGAAAUAGAUGUUAGUCGUAAAAAUAAUGAGUAUCAAUUUUUAAGAGAACAGGAAUUAUUAUGUCAUUUUAAUAGUAAUGUUAUGAAACCGUUAAGCACUAAAAUUGGCGAUUUAAAAGAAAAACAAAAUUAUGAAAUAUUAAUGCAUUGUGCUAAUGGUGAUUUAAAAAAGUUAUUACAAAAUUUAAUAUAUCAUAGAAAAAAAGAGUAUGAAAAAAGAAGAAAAGUAAAUAAAAUUUUAAAGUUAAUACAUAUUUUAUUUGGCAAGAAAUAUAAAUGUUAUCAACAAAACGGAUAUGAUAAUAAUGUAUGUAUUGGUUUAUGUUAUGAAAAAUUAAAAAAAAUGAAAAUAAAAUUAAAUAAUGUUAUAGUUGAAAUAAACUGUCCUAAUUUUGAUUUUAUAUAUGAUAGUAUAAAAGUAUAUAAUUGUGGUUUAACUGAGGCAGAAUGUAAAUUUUUAUUUUUUCAAAUAGUAAAUGGAGUCAGUUUCUUACAAACAUGUUAUCAGUCAAAUAUUGUACGCUUAACCGAUAUAAAAUUACAAAAUGUAUUAGUAUAUACUGACUUAUAUAAUUUAUAUAAUCCAAUGAAAUGGCAUUUAUGUAUUUCUGAUUUUGGUUGUUCAGCAAUGGAAUAUGCUACUUUCUAUUUAGAAAACUCAAGAAAAUAUAUGAACGUAUAUAAAAUGUUACUAAACCAAUGGAAAUACCAAUUUAAAAAUCAAUUAUCAUCUUAUUUUCAAGGAACAGUUUAUACAAUAGCACCAGAAGGACUCUGUUAUGAUCAUAAAAACAAUUUUAGACAAUCAAAAUAUAACAAACUAAUUUAUUUUUAUGAACAGCAUUUCGGAGUGAUUGAAGAUAGAUUUAACGAAUUACAAAAACCAUUAGUUUCUAUUAAAAACUCAAUAAAUAAUUUAAAUGUAUUAAACAUUAACUCAUGUUCAAAUUUUGAUUUUUGUGACCACCAAGAUGGUGACUACGUAGGAGUUAGUGAUAACGAAGUACAGAAAGCGGGUAAUACAAAUAAUCUUAAUAGCGCAGAUAAUGUUAAUAGCGCAGAUAAAGCGGAUAAUAUAGAUAACCUAGGGAACGUACAUGACAAUACAGGUGUUAAUAACAACGUAACGGAAUAUAUACCAUUUGAUAUCAGAUGUGAUAGUUGGUCUUUGGGAAUAAUUUUAGCUGAUUUAGCAAAAUGUGGUACUUUAUCAUACGAAUAUAUGUACUCAGAGAAACCGUUAGGCGACGACACGUUAGAUAGUAUGUGUAAUAAUGAACGUGUAAAAUUAAAUAAUAUAAUAUUAAAUGAUUUUAAUGAUAUAACUACUGAUGAAAAAAUAUAUUUACAAUGCAUAAUGAAAUAUUACGAUAUUGUUAGUUUACAAUGGGGUGAAGAGGAAUUACAUAACGAAAAAAGUGAAAGUGAAUAUAAAGAAAUGCAUAAUAAAAAAAUAUAUAACUUGAAAAUGCAAAAUCGGAAAGAAAAUGGUGAUAAUGGUAAUAGCGACAAGAAGGAAGACUAUGAAGGAGACAACAAAGAAGAUGGUAAGGAAAAAAGCGAAGAAAAUAAUAAGGAAGAAAGUGAAGAAAAUAAUAAGGAAGACAACAAAAAAGACAGCAAAAAAGACAACACAGAAAGCAACAAAGAGAAAACUGUAAGUAAUAAUCCCAAACGACAAUCAAAAAGAGCACAUUCUUCUAAUGACUAUUAUGAAAAGAAAAUAAGCAUAGAUAAUAAGGAAUUUGUACAUAAAAUCUCUUAUAACAAUGGGCAAGUAAAUCAUGAUAGCUUAAAAGACGUGGUUGAAAAAAAAAAAAAUGAGAGUAGCAACAAAGUUAGUAGUAGUACUCCGGAAAGCUUUGCAAUGUUCAGCAAACAAUACAAAUCAUUUGUUGAAAAAUAUAAAGAUUAUGUAAGAAGUGACAAAGUUCUUUCUAUAAAAAAUGAUGUUAUAAAAUAUUAUAGACAAAAUAAGCAUGUGCUGAAUGAAAGUAAUAUGAAUAAAGCACUGACAGUAUUAUUUUUAAUAAAUAAUAAUAAUUUAACUUAUAAUGAAAAUCAUGAAAUUAAUUCUUUUUUAAAACUGAAUAUAACAUUAAAAAAUUUGGGUUCUGGUAUAUUUAAGUUUCGAAAUAAAACUGAAAAAGAUAAUUACCUAAAAGAUUUCAAAAUGAAUAUACAAAAAGAAUUUAUGAAUGGAAACAAAGAAUAUUGGCACAGUAGAUUAACAAAUAAAUAUUUAGCUGUUAUUUUAAAAGAUUUGUGUUAUGACACUUUUAAUAAUAGAAAACAAAAUAUCAAAAAUAGUUUUACUAAGUUUGAAUACCCAUUAAAUUAUAGUGAUGAUUUUUGGAAUUUACUAACUAAUCUUUUAAGUUAUUUACCACAUGAAAGAUUGUUAGCUUGUGAGAUUCUAGGCCAUGACUUUUUUUCAUGUACCAAUGAAAAAAUAAAAAAUAUAACUACUAUGUGUGCAAAGGAAGAAAAUGAUUACAUUGAUUUGUUAAAUCAAAAGGAAUUUAGUGAUGUGUUAUUAAAAAAUUAUGUACAAGAAAAAAAAGAGCAAACAUAUAUAUAUACACCUUUCCAUCAAGAGUUUAAAAAUGAUGUGGAGCAAGAUUAUUUAGAUAUCAAGGAGGAAACACAGUCACCUACAAAUAGUAAAAACAAGAAAAAAAAUAGUAAUAAUAAUAGUAAUAACAAUAAUAAUAACAAUAAUAAUAACAAUAAUAAUAAUAAUAAUAAUAAUAAUAAUAAUAAAAAUAUAAAAGGAAAUAAAAAAAAAAAUCGCAUAAUAAAUAAAGCAUCUGCCAUGACAGAAAAAACUAACCAACCAAAUAAUAAUAAUAGUAAUGACAAUAAUGAUAAUAACCAGAACAAAACAAUAAAAUAUAUAACUACUUUAUAUGACACCGUAAUUAGAAACAUGAAAAAUAAAUGUGAUUUUUGUGAUGAUGUAAAUGCUUGUUUAAAUUAUAAAAAUAUUUUAAAAAAAAUAAAAACGUUGGAAAAAGGUAUUUUAAAUUGUAACCAUAAUGAUGAUAGUCAAGCAUAUGAUUUGGUACAUAAUAUCAAACGAAAUACCAGGUGUGAUAAAACAAUAAAAAAAAAUAGGUUUGUUUACUCAAGUACCGUAUGUAACAAUGUAUAUUAUUUUUUAAAUGGGUCUUCUUUAUUUGAUGAAAUGAAAAAUAUAGAUAUAUUUAUGAACAUACAUUUACCAUUUGAACAUUUAUGUUUACCAAUGUGUGAUCAAAAUACUGUUCAAAAUAAAAAUUCAGUUAAUUUUUUUUUUAAGCCAAUUUAUUAUUAUAGCUUCCCAUACAAAAUUAUACAUGCAUGGUAUAUAGGGC